rnacentral:rRNA from 1 species
AAAGGAAUAGACGGGGGCCCGCACAAGCGGUGGAGCAUGUGGUUUAAUUCGACGCAACGCGAAGAACCUUACCAUGGAUUGACAUCCUCUGACCGCGUAUGAAAGUACGUUUUCACCUUCGGGUGACAGAGAGACAGGUGGUGCAUGGUUGUCGUCAGCUCGUGUCGUGAGAUGUUGGGUUAAGUCCCGCAACGAGCGCAACCCCUACAUUUAGUUGCUAACAGGUGAAGCUGAGCACUCUAGAUGAACUGCCGUUGACAAAACGGAGGAAGGUGGGGAUGACGUCAAAUCAUCAUGCCCCUUAUACCAUGGGCUACACACGUGCUACAAUGGUCCGUACAAAGGGUAGCGACCGGGCGACCGGCAGCCAAUCCCGAAAAGCGGAUCUCAGUUCGGAUUGCAGGCUGCAACUCGCCUGCAUGAAGUCGGAAUCGCUAGUAAUCGCAGGUCAGCAUACUGCGGUGAAUACGUUCCCGGGCCUUGUACACACCGCCCGU